rnacentral:rRNA from 1 species
CAGCAGCCGCGGUAAUACGAAGGGGGCUAGCGUUGCUCGGAAUGACUGGGCGUAAAGGGCGCGUAGGCGGCGGCCAAAGUCAGGCGUGAAAUUCCUGGGCUCAACCUGGGGGCUGCGUUUGAUACUUGGUUGCUUGAGUGGGGAAGAGGGUCGUGGAAUUCCCAGUGUAGAGGUGAAAUUCGUAGAUAUUGGGAAGAACACCGGUGGCGAAGGCGGCGACCUGGUCCUUUACUGACGCUGAGGCGCGAAAGCGUGGGGAGCAAACAGGAUUAGAUACCCGAGUAGUCCCUGUCUCUUAUAC